rnacentral:misc_RNA from 1 species
GAUGAAGAACGUAGUGAAAUGCGAUAAGUAGUGUGAAUUGCAGAAUUCAGUGAAUCAUCGAAUCUUUGAACGCACAUUGCGCCCCUUGGUAUUCCAUGGGACAUGCCUGUUCGAGCGUCAUUUGUACCUUCAAGCUCUGCUUGGUGUUGGGUGUUUGUCUCGCCUCUGCGUGUAGACUCGCCUUAAAACAAUUGGCAGCCGGCGUAUUGAUUUCGGAGCGCAGUACAUCUCGCGCUUUGCACUCAUAACGACGACGUCCAAAAGUACAUUUUUACACUCUUGACCUCGGAUCAGGUAGGGAUACCCGCUGAACUUAAGCAUAUCAAUAAGCGGAGGA